rnacentral:rRNA from 1 species
GACGAACGCUGGCGGCGUGCUUAACACAUGCAAGUCGAACGGAAAGGCCCUGCUUUUGUGGGGUGCUCGAGUGGCGAACGGGUGAGUAACACGUGAGUAACCUGCCCUUGACUUUGGGAUAACUUCAGGAAACUGGGGCUAAUACCGGAUAGGAGCUCCUGCUGCAUGGUGGGGGUUGGAAAGUUUCGGCGGUUGGGGAUGGACUCGCGGCUUAUCAGCUUGUUGGUGGGGUAGUGGCUUACCAAGGCUUUGACGGGUAGCCGGCCUGAGAGGGUGACCGGCCACAUUGGGACUGAGAGACGGACCAGAGUCCUACGGGGGGCAGCAGUGGGGAAUAUUGCACAAUGGGCGGAAGUCUGAUGCAGCAACGCCGCGUGCGUGAUGACGGCCUUCGGGUUGUAAACCGCUUUCGCCUGUGACGAAGCGUGAGUGACGGUAAUGGGUAAAGAAGCACCGGCUAACUACGUG